rnacentral:lncRNA from 1 species
UUAGCGUUGCAACUUCGAGUAAUUAAAGAACCAUUUUGACUUGCACAACAAAGAAACCAGCAAGUAAAAAAGCAUACUAUUUUACAUGACCCGGGGAAGGGACUUAGCAUAUCGGCCCUAUAUCGGCCCUGCACAUAUCAUCGAGGCUGCCUGGGCUAGUAAAAAAGAAACUAUUUAGCGAGGGAGACGGCCGGGACCAGGAGCGACGCCAAUAUCAUCGGAGGAAAAAUAAAAAAAAAACGACUGGAACCACGGCCGAUGGAAGCUGCCCAGGCUUACACAUGGGAGGUGGCCAGGUCACUGCGAGUCUAGCAGGUCCGGGCUCCAAGGAGAUUUAAGGGGAAAACCUAUAUCCUCUCUAUUUUCAUCAUCCCAACUCGAUAGAACCAUGGGAGCUCUCUUGCACCUGUCCCGCUGUAGCUUGACGAUGCAGAUCCGAAUCAGGUGGACCUACUCUCGUCGCAGUUAGGGAGAAGAGCGUGGUCGAGGGAGACAUUGACGACGACGAAGACUGAGAAGUUGUAAACCCUAGAUACCAGUACGCGACCACGGCGAAUACUGAGAAGUUGAAAAACCCUAGAUACCAGUACGCGCUAUGGUUGAAGAAAAGGCCAUGAUGUUUUGGACGAACCUGCACCAACUGUGGAGACGGGCGGAGCGCACGAGGAGAGAGGACGCACGGCCGACAGUUUCGACGUCGCAUUCGCUGGAGAUCCCAGGUCCUGAGAGGUUCUUUUGGGGAGAAGACAAAGGCGAGUGUGUCCCACUCUGUAUUGUACUGGAAGGCUCUGGACGCAGAGACCAACGCUUAG